rnacentral:rRNA from 1 species
ACCUGCGGAAGGAUCAUUGUAGAGUUCCUUUUUCGAACAGUUGUGAAUUUGCGUCCAUACCCGUCGAGAACUACGCGUCGGUGCGGCAAACACUUGCGUUGUUCGGGCGGGUUUCCACCGCUGCCUUCGUCUCGCUUCGUUUGAAGUGGGAAGGAGAGAAGAAACAAGAGACCGGCACGGUUUGUGCCAAGGACAGUCGCAGUGUUGAGUGCAUUGCCAUCAUACUCUGAUGUGCUUUGUGCUAGCUAUUCUAGCGAUCAUCGAAUGACUCCUGGCAAUGGAUAUCUUGGCUCUCGUGUCGAUGAAGAACGUAGCGAAAUGCGACACUUGGUGUGAAUUGCAGAAUCCCGUGAACCAUCGAGUCUUUGAAUGCAAGUUGCGCUCGAGGCCGUUAGGUCGAGAGCACGUCUGUUUGGGUGUCAUGCCUUGCGUCGUUCCUACCAUCCAUCUAUGGUAAACAUAGGUCGGGUGACGAUGGAUGUGGAGAUUGACCCUCCGUUCUUUAAUAGUGCGGUCGGUUCAAGGGAAUGUUAUCGCUAGGCCCACGCGCGGCGAACGGAGUAUCGAGACAACAAAGAUGUUUCUAACCGCGUCCAGGUGUCCCAAGUGCGAUGCAACAUUAAAAGAAACCAUUCUCGAUGUUUGCACGAGUCGCAAACUCGGACCAUGACCUCAGAU